GGCCUCUCAGCCUCCCGUCGAAGCGCGGUGCCGAGGUGCCAUCUUCCCUCUCCUGCGCACCGGCUUUUCCUGGCGAAAGACUCGUACCUCUUUCCGCCAAAACGUUGGGACUUUCCAUCCAUCCCUGAGCCAGCCUUGUGCCAGCCGUGUGCCCAGAGGCAGCUUCAUAGAAGAGGACAUGCAGUUUAUGAAAACCCUUUGGUUACUCUAUCAUAUGAAGAAGUGUUAAUACUAGUAAAUAGUACAACUCUACACCAAGGGAAAAAAACUGGAGUCUGAAAAAGAAUCUGAUACCACACAAUACCAUCAGUGGUGCUACGAAGAUAAAAGUGGCACUCCCUACCCUCAGAGAACCCUUCCUGUCUUUUUUUGUUUGCUUCUGGUUUUCCAAAUCUUGGGUUAAAUAAAAACUAAAAUAUUAAAUAUGA